ensembl:snRNA U6 U6 spliceosomal RNA
GUAUGUUUUGGCAGCACAUACACCAAAAUUGGAAUGACUCAGAGAAGAUUAGCUGGGUCCUUGCAAAAGAAGACACACAAAUUCAUGAAGCACUCUGUGUAUUU